UACGUAGGGGGCAAGCGUUGUCCGGAUUCAUUGGGCGUAAAGAGCGUGUAGGCGGCCAGGUAGGUCGGUUGUGAAAACUGGAGGCUCAACCUUCAGAGGUCGACCGAAACCAUCUGGCUAGAGUCCGGGAGAGGAGAGUGGAAUUCCUGGUGUAGCGGUGAAAUGCGCAGAUAUCAGGAGGAACACCAGUGGCGAAAGCGCGUGACUGGGCCACAACUGACGCUGAGGAACGAAAGCCAGGGGAGCGAAAGGG
rnacentral:rRNA from 1 species